rnacentral:rRNA from 1 species
CAGGAUUCCCUCAGUAGCGGCGAGCGAACAGGGAAGAGCCCAGCACCGAAUCCCGCGGCCGAAACCGGACGCCGGGAAAUGUGGUGUUAGGGAGGGUCCGCUAUCCCGAGAUUGUGCGGUGCGUCCAAGUCCAUCUUGAACGGGGCCACAGCCCAUAGAGGGUGCCAGGCCCGUAGUGACCGCUGCCGAUCGCGGGAGGAUCUCUCCUCAGAGUCGGGUUGCUUGAGAGUGCAGCCCUAAGUGGGUGGUAAACUCCAUCUAAGGCUAAAUAUGACCACGAGACCGAUAGCGAACAAGUACCGUGAGGGAAAGUUGAAAAGAACUUUGAAGAGAGAGUUCAAUAGUACGUGAAACCGUUCAGGGGUAAACCUGAGAAACCCGAAAGGUCGACAGGGGAGAUUCAGCGUGUCUCGGUGUCCGUGUGUUAUUGGUUUGAGACGGUAAGGCGCUUGCGUCGAUCUGCUCGAUCAACAACAGCACGGUUCCGAACGCGUGCACUUCUCCCCCAGUAGGACGUCGCGAUCCGUUGGGUGCCGGUCUAAGGGCUGCGGUGGAGUCCGUCCGGACGGUUCGCCGUACCGGACGAACCCGUGGAUUCCCGGCCGGCUCGCUCGACGGUAUACAGAUGGCGCGGGGCCGCUUCUUAGUGAGCGUCCGGCCCGUGGCAAGUGCGCUCGUCGUGUUGGUGAUCGUGCCUGGCACGAUCCUAACCCCGGGCGGCUGUUCGCUACGGUGUUCUCGGACAGACCUCGUUGAAACGCCGAUCUGCGACGCUAUAGCUUUGGGUACUUUCAGGACCCGUCUUGAAACACGGACCAAGGAGUCUAGCAUGUGCGCGAGUCAUUGGGACAUGACUAAACCUAAAGGCGCAAUGAAAGUGAAGGCCGCGCAUUAGUGCGGCCGAGGGAGGAUGUGCGGCGGUUUCGGCCGUCGUUCCGCACUCCCGGGGCGUCUCGUUCUCAUUGCGAGAAGAGGCGCACCAAGAGCGUACACGCUGGGACCCGAAAGAUGGUGAACUAUGCCUGGUCAGGACGAAGUCAGGGGAAACCCUGAUGGAGGUCCGUAGCGAUUCUGACGUGCAAAUCGAUCGUCGGAACUGGGUAUAGGGGCGAAAGACUAAUCGAACCAUCUAGUAGCUGGUUCCCUCCGAAGUUUCCCUCAGGAUAGCUGGCGCUCGUAGCGUACGAGUUUCAUCCGGUAAAGCGAAUGAUUAGAGGCAUUGGGGUCGAAACGGCCUCAACCUAUUCUCAAACUUUAAAUGGGUGAGAUCUCCGGCUUGCUCGAACUAUCAAUGAAGCCGGAGACUCGAAUCAGAG